AACGAACGCUGGCGGCAUGCCUAACACAUGCCAGUCGAACGAGACCUUCGGGUCUAGUGGCGCACGGGUGCGUAACGCGUGGGAAUCUGCCCUUGGGUUCGGAAUAACAGUUGGAAACGACUGCUAAUACCGGAUGAUGACGUAAGUCCAAAGAUUUAUCGCCCGAGGAUGAGCCCGCGUAGGAUUAGCUAGUUGGUGAGGUAAAGGCUCACCAAGGCGACGAUCCUUAGCUGGUCUGAGAGGAUGAUCAGCCACACUGGGACUGAGACACGGCCCAGACUCCUACGGGAGGCAGCAGUGGGGAAUAUUGGACAAUGGGCGAAAGCCUGAUCCAGCAAUGCCGCGUGAGUGAUGAAGGCCUUAGGGUUGUAAAGCUCUUUUACCCGGGAUGAUAAUGACAGUACCGGGAGAAUAAGCUCCGGCUAACUCCGUG
rnacentral:rRNA from 1 species